UACGAGGGGGGCAAGCGUUGUUCGGAAUUACUGGGCGUAAAGGGCGCGUAGGCGGCCUGUUAAGUCGAACGUGAAAUCCCCGGGCUCAACCCGGGAACUGCGUCCGAUACUGGCAGGCUUGAAUCCGGGAGAGGGAUGCGGAAUUCCGGGUGUAGUGGUGGAAUGCGUAGAGAUCCGGAGGAACACCAGCGGCGAAGGCGGCAUCCUGGACUGGUCCUGACACUCAGGAGCGAAAGCGUGGGGAGCGAUCCGG
rnacentral:rRNA from 1 species